UGAGAAUGAGCUGAUUGUUGCAUAUACUGAAGAGGAAAUGUGUUGUUUUGUUUCAGGAUCCCUCGGUUACACAAGUGACCAACUCUGACGUAGACCACAUUGAUCAAUUUAACCCUUUCCCAGACCAUCAGACGGUUAGCCUAUCAGGGCCCACCAUUCCGGCCUCCAGGAUCCCUUCCCAGCCUGCCGUGCUGCAGCCGUCAACAGAGCCCGUGCUUCUACACCUGCAUUGCUUGCUGUUUGGUGUUUUAGGCUGGGUUUCUGUACAGCACUUUGAGAUAUCAGCUGAUGUCACGGAGGCUGCGGGCCAGGCUAGCCUGCUGAGGCAGCAGGAGGAGCUGGAGUGGAAGGCUGCAGACCUGGAGCACAGAGAGAAGGAGUUGCAGAACAGGGGAACCUCAACAGGUCGGACAGCUCCUUCAGUUACUUCUUCUUUGUGUUCUUCUGCCAAGUGGUGGUGUUCAUUAUCCAGUCUGUGGGCAUCACCAACUUGGGAAACAGUGGUUGGAUCACCUCGUUGUCUGCCAUCACCUCCAACAAGGCGGUGGGAGCCAUCAUGAUGUUGGUGGCCUACUUCUUCACUGCCUGUGCUGUGCUGUCAGUCAUCCUGCUGAGGAUGGUGCACAGCCAGUACAGGCGUACCGGGGCCAGCUUCCAGAAGGCCCAGCAGGAGUUCUCCCAGGGCGUGCUCACCAACAAGACCUUCCAGACGGCUGCCACCUCUGCAGUCGCCUCCGCUGCCUUCCAGGGGAACAAUUAGACCCAGGCCGGGCUAACUCAACCCCCAGAUACCCCCUUCACCUCCUCCAUCCAAUGUCCACCACCACAACACUUGUUUGGGAUGGAUCCCCUCCCCUGCUGUCACCAUCCAGUGCAGGUCCCACCAUGGAGCUCAUUUCAUAUAUGAGCUGUGGUCAUCAGACAGCAACAAAAUGGUUGCUUGAGUAGGAAACUGUACCAACUGUGUUUUUUGGGAAUUGGAAGC
ensembl:lncRNA